rnacentral:rRNA from 1 species
GAUGAACGCUAGCUACAGGCUUAACACAUGCAAGUCGAGGGGAAACGACAUCGAAAGCUUGCUUUUGAUGGGCGUCGACCGGCGCACGGGUGAGUAACGCGUAUCCAACCUGCCCACCACUUGGGGAUAACCUUGCGAAAGUAAGACUAAUACCCAAUGACGUCUCUAGAAGACAUCUGAAAGAGAUUAAAGAUUUAUCGGUGAUGGAUGGGGAUGCGUCUGAUUAGCAUGUUGGCGGGGUAACGGCCCACCAAGGCGACGAUCAGUAGGGGUUCUGAGAGGAAGGUCCCCCACAUUGGAACUGAGACACGGUCCAAACUCCGACGGGAGGCAGCAGUGAGGAAUAUUGGUCAACGGGCGAGAGCCUGAACCAGCCAAGUAGCGUGCAGGAUGACGGCCCUAUGGGUUGUAAACUGCUUUUAUAAGGGAAUAAAGUGAGUCUCGUGAGACUUUUUGCAUGUACCUUAAGAAUAAGGACCGGCUAAUUCCGUGCCAGCCGCCGCCGUAA